rnacentral:rRNA from 1 species
UAAUGGGUCAGCGACUUAUAUUCUGUAGCAAGGUUAACCGAAUAGGGGAGCCGAAGGGAAACCGAGUCUUAACUGGGCGUUAAGUUGCAGGGUAUAGACCCGAAACCCGGUGAUCUAGCCAUGGGCAGGUUGAAGGUUGGGUAACACUAACUGGAGGACCGAACCGACUAAUGUUGAAAAAUUAGCGGAUGACUUGUGGCUGGGGGUGAAAGGCCAAUCAAACCGGGAGAUAGCUGGUUCUCCCCGAAAGCU